CGCCUUUAGACCCAAGAUUAAAGGUCCAGCCUGCCCAGUGAACUCUUUCAACGGCCGCGGUACCCUGACCGUGCUAAGGUAGCGCAAUCCCUUGCCUUUUAAUUGAUGGCUAGUAUGAAUGGCUAGACGAGCGCAAUCUUGUCUCUAAUAAUCUUCAUACAAACUAACCUUCAGGUGAAGAGGCCUGAAUUCCGUAGUAGGACAAGAAGACCCUAUCGAGCUUUAUUUUAUCUAGUUCAUUUAACUACUUCAAAUUUUGUUGGGGCAACAAAAAACCAAGCAAAGCGUUUUUUAUUUCUCUGGCCAUAUAAGCCUAUACUGACCCAGUCUAACUGACCAUAAGAAAUAGCUACCGUAGGGAUAACAGACUAAUCCCUUCCAAGAGCUCACAUUGACGAAGGAGCUUGGCACCUCGAUGUUGGCUUAGGGCCCCUCCAAAAGGCAGCACUUUUGUAAGUAGGUUUGUUCAACCUUUAAAGCCCUA
rnacentral:rRNA from 1 species